CGUGCGUGGAGCGAGACGUGUCGCACGUUGGCGGGGGUCAGUGAUCGAGAGCACCAUGCUGCUUUGUUUAUGCGCGCCGUGGGAUUUAAAGACGGGAUUUAAAACGGUGACGGAUGGCUGACGGAGAGACAAUAAACAAAGGAACUAUUUUCGAAGGGGAACCAGAUGGGCGUAGGCCCUUCCUUCCUUCUCUCCACGGAAAUAACAGCAAUUUCCCCCGGACAGGAAAUAAAUCAGAGAUAAACGCAAAAGUUAGCAGAUAUAUGCACGCGCGCGAAACGCGCGUAUCGUUCGCCAGGGCGGCAUAAUUCGGGAUGAUUGAUUAGAAUUAUAGCGAGUGGAAUCUCGAUCAGCACGCGCAAUAAAAUCACGCCCCGGAUCAAUCGACGCGCUAUCGGACGCACGAUCGACGGGGUCAGUGAUCGAGCGAAUGCUUUGUUUACGUCGAUCGAGGGAGGGACGACGCGCCGUAUACUUCUUCCCGCGACAAAUAAUCCCCUUCCCCAAAUUCCACUUUGACUUACAACGCUUAAUCUCCGCUCGAGAAAACGCGGCGACUACGCUCACGAGAAUGAUAAUGACGUGACUCAUUUCUCGCCGAGUCGACUUAUUUUGUCGUAGCGUCCGAGAUAAGAGGAACGCUGAUGUUUUUCUUAUAGCGAGGUGACAAACGGAAAACGAGCUCGCGCGGGUUCUAAUGAAUUCUGAACGGCUAUUUCUCCUUUAUCAUCCAGCAGCACGACCUUCGAGCUGCUCGACACAUCGGGUAGCAGUAUAUAUAAUGCGUAGUUCUGUGGAACAAAGCGACCGCUGGACGCCCGCAUGGAACGCGCGAUUAAUAUUCAAUAUUAUCGCUAAACACGAUCUGCAUUUGCGUCGUCCAUAUUAAUUUCGAAUGAGUCAGAGCUCUUUAUCUAUAAUUACAUUUUUAAAAAAGGCCAAAUUUGGCGUUGGACAACGUUAUAAAUCGAAUAAACGUCGUUUUGUAGAAUUAAGUCGACGAAAAAUUGAAGGCUCGCGUCAGGCACUAAAUAAAAUUGCCCGUCGUGAUGAAAUGCGCAUAUCAUACGUAUCAACGACGUAUAGCUGAACGUAAUCUCGUACUUACACUCUCUCGUAUAUCCGAUGCUCGUACGGGCGCCGAAUUUUCCGCAAAUUUUCCUGCGUGGGCCUGCGGUCAGCGGCGAUUUACAUCACUUAUACGCGAUCGGGUCGUCCGCGUAUGAGACGAGUGCUCGAACUAUGGGGACGCGUCGCAUCUGCUGCACCAGAUGCACCGUACAGAAUUACGAAGGCCCGACCAAUCGCGCGAGGCUCGCGAGGCACGCCGAGCGGGGCACGCCGAGAUGCACAGCUGAGCCUUGGGCAUCGGGAGAACUGCGCUCCUCGGCGAAACAGACACGGACGCGAUGAAGAAAAUUUCAUCAAGAUCCUUCAUUCCUAAAUUUAUGACGUUGCUUAAAGAAACGAAAAAAAAAUUAUAGUGGGUAGGAGAAAUAUGGAAUUUUUCGCCUUUGUACGGAAAACUCGCAAGGUCGCGAGGUAAAUUUGCAUAAAUUGCUUCAUCGCGCUCGACUCGGCAAUGCUGAGGGUACGAGAAAUAAUGUUAACUUCACCAAAUACCUUCAUUUUUUUUUUUUUUAUUAAUUCACUUCGGUAUUUUAGCUGAUUUAUAUCGCAUAUUCGCAUGUAAUUAUCUUCCUAAAUUCACGAAUGCGCAAAGCCAAAACUGUAUAUUUCAAAAAAUUUUUUACUCUACGAUUUCUCGCACACUGCGUCAUGACAAGAGCAGGACGCAUUCGUCUAGAAUGUCUAGGUUUCGCCGUAUGGCUGUACAAAUAAUUAUAUGCGAAUAUCGCUUAAUUCUCGUGUACAUUCGCUGUGAUUGUUAUGUAAGGAUUCGAUGGAAAAACAAUUCAUUCGCGCGUACCGCAAAUCUUCGGAAAGCUCAACUAUUUCGCAACGCGUUCCUUUUCGCAAACGCCACCCUCGAUGCAUACAAAAAUAACGCUCA